rnacentral:tRNA from 1 species
UCCCUGGUGGUCUAGUGGUUAAGGAUUUGGCAUUGGCAUUGCUGUGGCUUGGGUUCAGGCCCUGGCUGGGGAA